CAGCCGCCGCGGUAAUACCGGCGGCCCGAGUGGCGGUCACUAUUAUUGGGCUUAAAGCGUCCGUAGCCGGGUUGGGAAGUCCUCCGGGAAAUCUGGCCGCUUAAAGGUCAGAAUGCCGGAGGAUACUCCCAGCCUAGGGAGCGGGAGAGGCCGAGGGUAUUCCCGGGGUAGGGGUGAAAUCCUAUAAUCCCGGGAGGACCACCUGUGGCGAAGGCGCUCGGCUGGAACGCGUCCGACGGUGAGGGACGAAGGCCAGGGGAGCAAACCGGAUUAGAUACCCGGGUAGUCCUGGCUGUAAACGAUGCGGACUUUGUGUCGGACAAGCUAUGAGCUUGUCCGGUGCCGGAGGGAAACCGUUAAGUCCGCCGCCUGGGGAGUACGGCCGCAAGGCUGAAACUUAAAGGAAUUGGCGGG
rnacentral:rRNA from 1 species